rnacentral:rRNA from 1 species
UACGGAGGGGGCAAGCGUUAAUCGGAAUUACUGGGCGUAAAGCGCGCGUAGGCGGCUAAGUCAGUCGGAUGUGAAAUCCCUGGGCUCAACCUGGGAACUGCAUUCGAUACUGCUUGGCUAGAGUGUGGGAGAGGGUGGUGGAAUUCCCGGUGUAGCGGUGAAAUGCGUAGAUAUGCGGAGGAACACCGAUGGCGAAGGCAACCCCCUGGACCUGUACUGACGCUCAUGCACGAAAGCGUGGGGAGCAAACCGG